UCUGGGGACUGGAGGAACUCAUAGGUCAGCUGUUGGAUGUGGAGCCUGGCUCUGGGGACUGGAGGAACUCAUAGGUCAGCUGUUGGAUGUGGAGCCUGGCUCUGGGGACUGGAGGAACUCAUAGGUUAGCUGUUGGAUGUGGAGCCUGGCUCUGGGGACUGGAGGAACUCAUAGGUCAGCUGUUGGAUGUGGAGCCUGGCUCAGGAGACUGGAGGAACUCAUAGGUCAGCUGUUGGAUGUGGAGCCUGGCUCUGGGGACUGGAGGAACUCAUAGGUCAGCUGUUGGAUGUGGAGC
rnacentral:lncRNA from 1 species